rnacentral:tRNA from 1 species
GCAGCCGUGGCCGACUGGUUAAGGCGAUGGACUAGAAUACCAUUGGGGUCUCCCCGCACAGGUUCGAAUCCUGUCGACUGCG